GACGAAGGUGGCGAGCGUUGUUCGGAAUCACUGGGCAUAAAGCGCACGUAGGCGGUGCCGUAAGUCAGAUGUGAAAUCCCUCGGCCUAACCGAGGAACUGCGUCUGAUACUGCGGUGCUUGAGGAUCAGAGGGGUGCAUGGAAUUUCCGGUGGAGCGGUGAAAUGCGUUGAUAUCGGAAGGAACUCCGGCGGCGAAAGCGAUGCACUGGCUGAUUUCUGACGCUGAGGUGCGAAAGCCAGGGGAGCAAACGGG
rnacentral:rRNA from 1 species